rnacentral:lncRNA from 1 species
AAAUGAUGAAAAAAUGUGAAACAAACUGCAUCUGGAAAAAUUGAAUAUGAUUACUUUUGGAAGAAGUCUCCCAAACUUGAGAAACUCCUAAUUUGAGGCUUUACGAAUGUAAAAGUUAAACUCAUUAGUUAUCCAUUUUCUAAAUAGAUAAUAUGGUUCUUAUCCAUAUUUGACCAAUUUUUAAAAAGUUCAUUACCCAACCUAUUUUUUAGUAUAUAAUAUAGGUGGAUAACUAUUUUCUUUUAACCAUUUUGCCACCACUAGUCAAUACAUGUACAUCAGUCUUUCCCUUUUCUAGUUGAUAAAUCAACGUUUAGAUACGUGGUCGGAAGUAGCCUUUAUGCUACGGGUUCAACUGAACUCAUAACCUUCGACACAAAGUAUAAAUUUAUAUGUAAAAAUCUAAACUCAACAAAUAUUAUAUAUGAACUCAUAAUUUAACAAUAUAAUCAAUUCAAUGCUGGAAAUCUUAAAAAAUUGAACUCGUUAAAUUUAAAUCUUAAAUCCGCAAAAACGGGCUUUUUCACACAUAAUAGAUAAAGGUGAUCUGAAAAGAAGAAAAAAGAAGAAGAUGUGGCAAGAGUUAAAAGAAGUACGAACCAAGCAUAAAUGCAUCCUUUUUCCUCGUGUCUGCGUUGCACAUGUUCAACAUAAGUCAUCUCCUGAUAUGAGGGUGCGUCCAUUUUUAUUCUAAGCUUAUUGCAGCUAAAGGCUUUUCAGAGAAGUAAUUUAUAAUAUACUGAGAGAGCUUUUGGUAUACCUUGAGUUGAGUGAACCACUUUAAUUCCUUGUAUGGUUUAUAAUACAGCUCACUUUGCAUAAGACAACAAACGAA